AAGCAUAAAUCUUUAUCAGAUGUGUUGCGUGGAGGUGGUGAUGGCGGGUGAGGCAGCAGCGUCACUCGUCCACUCUCUCUGCCGCCACACACCAAGCAGCAUCACUCUGGACACUCCUCUCCAUCACCCCGACACCGCACCCUCGCCUAGUGACUCUUCUGCUUGCAAAAUGCUAGGAAAUUUUAGUACCCAGCAAGGCAUGUGUAAGUCUGAUGGGAGCUUCAAGAAAUAGCUUGCUGGUUGAAAUAAACAGGCUGGAGACUAAACAGCUGGGAGAAUUCACUGAAGUUCUAAGAGGCUGGCUUCAGAAUAUGUAUCUACUAGACUGCUAAAUACCAGAAUCUACUAGACUGCUAAAAUACCAGGCAAGACUACCGAAGCUUGUGUAAUGUUUUAGGAAAAAAAAUUAGCAACUUUGUGACAGUAUUAAAAUAACUGUCUCUUCAUUAAAUGUAAUGUUGCAGGAGGAAGUCCUGAUUAAGAAGUGGUCUGGAUACUGUAAUAGAUUGGUGCAGUUGGAAGCCAUUUUACACAACCUUAGGAAUUGGAAAGUGCUUGGAAUUUCUUGAGUCGUUAUGAUUGCUUUGCCUUUGAAUGGUAUUUUUAUUCUACUGGAGCCCAGACCUGGGCAAGGCUUAUCGAAUCAACUAGGCUGUUGCUUCUGGCCUACAUGUCCACCACAGCCUGGUUGACCUGACACCUGGUGAUAAUUGUCCAGUUUCAUCUUUAAGAUUUCUGCAUUUGUCAGUGUUCUCAAUCUGGUGGAGGCUGGUGCUCUGAUGUGAAAAGAGGGACAAAUGUAUCAUGGCACCCUCGCCUAGUGACUCUUCUGCUUGCAAAAUGCUAGGAAAUCUUAGUACCUGGCAAGGCAUGUGUAAGUCUGAUGGGAGCUUCAAGAAAUGGCUGGCUGGUUGAAAUCAAUAGGUUGGAGACUGUAGACAGCUGGGAGAAUUCACUGAAGUUCUAAGAGGCUGGCUUCAGAAUAUGUAUCUACUAGACUGCUAAAUACCAGUAUCUACUAGACUGCUAAAUACCAGAAUCUACUAGACUGCUAAAAUACCAGGAGGAAAUCCUGAUUAAGAAGUGGUCUGGAUACUGUAAUAGAUUGGUGCAGUUGGAAGCCAUUUUACACAACCUUAGAUAUACAGUGGACCCUUGGUUAUCAGCCAUAAUCAGUUCCAGGUCAGCCUAAAACCGAAAUGGCCGAAAACGGAAAUAUUUACCCUAAGAAUUAAUGUAAAUACAAUUAAUCCAUUCCAUGACCAAAAAUGUUAACAAAAAAUACAUUUUUUGAAGAUUUUUACGUACACAACAAUGAGAACUAAAUAAAAUAGUACGUAAACAAUUAAAUCGCCAUUACAUACCUUCAUUGAAGACUCCUGUAAGUUACAGAAUUGGAAAGUGCUUGGAAUUUCUUGAGUGGAUAUGAUUGCUUUGCCUUUGAAUGGUAUUUUUAUUCUACUGGAGCCCAGACCUGGGCAAGGCUUAAAAAAUCAACUAAGCUGUUGCUUCUGGCCUACAUGUCCACCACAGCCUGGUUGACCUGGCACCUGGUGAUAAUUGUCCAGUUUCAUCUUUAAGAUUUCUGCAUUUGUCAGUGUUCUCAAUCUGGUGGAGGCUGGUGCUCUGAUGUGAAAAGAGGGACAAGUGUAUCAUGGGGGCGGCUUCAAAAGUUGUGUUCUUGGAUGGUUUUGACGAACUGUUUAUUUUGGAUCUCAGAUCCAGUGAUUCUGCUGGUGUGGACAUUGUGUAGUAGUGUACUAGGAUCUUUGCCUCCUCAAAAUCUUUGAAAAGGCAAGAUGCUGGGAGUUUUCCUUGGAGGCUGGCUCCAGAAUGUGAAUCUACUCGACAUUGGUUGAAUAACAGAGGCAGUUUUAAAAAAACAGGGACUUUGGUAUCUGCUUGACUCAUUAAUUUAGAGGUAAGGGGCAGUUACACCACAACUUCCAAAUCGGUUUUCAUCUGAUUUAAAUUUUAUCAUAGUACAUGUUUAAAAUUUUGGCAAGGCUUUUGUGUAGACUUAAAUACAAUGUGCAGUUAAAAUUUGAUUAUAAACUUAACAGUAUAUUGUGUAAUAGGAAAAUAAUCAUUUGAAAAUAAAAGCUUUUAAUGUCUUGUUGGUUUCUUACG